rnacentral:rRNA from 1 species
GAUGAACGCUGGCGGCGUGCUUAACACAUGCAAGUCGAACGGAAAGGCUCCUGCUUGCAGGGGUACUCGAGUGGCGAACGGGUGAGUAACACGUGGGUGAUCUGCCCUGCACUUCGGGAUAAGCCUGGGAAACUGGGUCUAAUACCGGAUAGGACCACAUUCUGGAUGGUGUGGUGGAAAGUUUUUCGGUGUGGGAUGAGCUCGCGGCCUAUCAGCUUGUUGGUGGGGUAAUGGCCUACCAAGGCGUCGACGGGUAGCCGGCCUGAGAGGGUGUACGGCCACAUUGGGACUGAGAUACGGCCCAGACUCCUACGGGAGGCAGCAGUGGGGAAUAUUGCACAAUGGGCGCAAGCCUGAUGCAGCGACGCCGCGUGGGGGAUGACGGCCUUCGGGUUGUAAACUCCUUUCGCUAGGGACGAAGCGCAAGUGACGGUACCUGCAGAAGAAGCACCGGCUAACUACGUG